AGGACGAACGCUGGCGGCGUGCCGGUAACACAUGCAAGUCGAGCGGGGACAUUAACAGAACGGAAGUUUCGGACGGAAGGGAAGAUAAGUGUUCUAGCGGCGGACGGGUGAGUAACGCGUGAGCAACCUGUCCUUCACAGGGGGAUAACACAGCGAAAGUUGCACUAAUACCGCAUAAGACCACAGUACCGCAUGGUGCAGGGGUCAAAGGAGAAAUCCGGUGAAGGGUGGGCUCGCGUCCGAUUAGAUAGUUGGUGAGGUAACGGCCCACCAAGUCAACGAUCGGUAGCCGACCUGAGAGGGUGAUCGGCCACAUUGGGACUGAGACACGGCCCAAACUCCUACGGGAGGCAGCAGUGGGGAAUAUUGGGCAAAAUGGGGGAAACCCUGACCCAGCAACGCCGCGUGAGGGAAGAAGGUUUUCGGAUCGUAAACCUCUGUCCUAGGUGAAGAGGAAGAGACGGUAGCCUAGGAGGAAGCCCCGGCUAACUACGUGCCAGCCGCCGC
rnacentral:rRNA from 1 species